rnacentral:rRNA from 1 species
UACAGAGGGUGCAAGCGUUAAUCGGAAUUACUGGGCGUAAAGGGCUCGUAGGUGGCCAACUAAGUCAGACGUGAAAAUCCCCUCGGCUUAACCGGGGAACUGCGUCUGAUACUGGAUGGCUUGAGUUUGGGAGAGGGAUGCGGAAUUCCAGGUGUAGCGGUGAAAUGCGCAGAUAUCAGGAGGAACACCAAUGGCGAAGGCAGCUCGCUGGGACGGUACUGACGCUGAGGCGCGAAAGCGUGGGGGAGCAAACAGG